rnacentral:lncRNA from 1 species
CGCACAUUUGUUCUGGGCUGCGUGAAUUCAUUUCCAGGAGGAUGUUUGAUAUACAUUGAGGCUUAAGAAACUCUGGAUGCCACGAACAAGGCCUGAAGUACUGGAACCGUCUUCGCCCUGAUCAGUGUGUCCCAACCCGCGAUGUAUUCGUUGGCAGAGGGGUGUACUCAACACAUUCACAUCUCCCUUCGCGGAUCAUCUAUUUUAGUCAUGAUGUCUCGGAUCACUGAUAUUGACUGAGUGAAGAGUAACUGAGAAGAACUAGACGUUAUGUGUAUGGCUGGUUGAACCCUUCAUGCCUGAAGCCAUGCCCAUUACUUGGUCAUGUAACCAAGUCACAUGAAUUUGGGAUAAUUUUUCAAGUGAUAGAGGAUUUGUCUUCACUAAAAUAGAUUAUAGUGGGUUAAUAUUACCUAGAUUUGGAUAUCCAGCAGAUCAAACCAUGGCCCCUCGGUAAUUUUGCGAAAAAGAAUAGCUUGGCCUCUGAUUUCUGCUCUGAGUGGUCUCCACCUACCCUGGCAUUAGAAUCGGAUUCCACUGGAUCGGCUUCUUCCCUGACUGAAGAUUAUUAGAUUAUUCGAUCUAGUAACGGUGCUAAAGAUAUGUAAGCAACCUCAUGUUCCCUGUAAGGCUCAUAGAACCUGCCUCUCUCAAUAAGGAAAUAUUUUCUGAUGUAUGACUUUAAUCGCCUUUUAUUACAUUUCAUGUCUUAAUAAUACCCCAGUGGAUUUAAC